CUGAAAUAUUAACUAAUUACAGGAAACAACUGAAAUACAUUACAUAACCAGACAUUUGCAACACAAAAUGUAGACACAUCCGAAUAAGUUUAAACCUGAACGCCAAGUGACGUCAUAUUUGAAAUUGUAAAAAUUGACCAAAAAAUGACGUCAUUUGAAUUUGUAAAACAGAUAAUUAAAAAAUGAAAAAUUACGUCACAUUUGAAU
rnacentral:lncRNA from 1 species